rnacentral:rRNA from 1 species
GAUGAACGCUGGCGGCGUGCCUAAUACAUGCAAGUCGAGCGAACGGACGAGAAGCUUGCUUCUCUGAUGUUAGCGGCGGACGGGUGAGUAACACGUGGAUAACCUACCUAUAAGACUGGGAUAACUUCGGGAAACCGGAGCUAAUGCCGGAUAAUAUUUUGAACCGCAUGGUUCAAAAGUGAAAGACGGUCUUGCUGUCACUUAUAGAUGGAUCCGCGCUGCAUUAGCUAGUUGGUAAGGUAACGGCUUACCAAGGCAACGAUGCAUAGCCGACCUGAGAGGGUGAUCGGCCACCCUGGAACUGAGACACGGUCCAGACUCCUACGGGAGGCAGCAGUAGGGAAUCUUCCGCAAUGGGCGAAAGCCUGACGGAGCAACGCCGCGUGAGUGAUGGAGGUCUUCGGAUCGUAAAACUCUGUUAUUAGGGAAGAACAUAUGUGUAAGUAACUGUGCACAUCUUGACGGUACCUAAUCAGAAAGCCACGGCUAACUACGUG